GAUGAACGCUGGCGGCGUGCCUAAUACAUGCAAGUCGAGCGAACAGACGAGGAGCUUGCUCCUCUGACGUUAGCGGCGGACGGGUGAGUAACACGUGGAUAACCUACCUAUAAGAAUGGGAUAACUUCGGGAAACCGGAGCUAAUACCGGAUAAUAUAUUGAACCGCAUGGUUCAAUAGUUAAAGACGGUUUUGCUGUCACUUAUAGGUGGAUCCUAGCCGCAUUAGCUAGUUGGUAAGGUAACGGCUUACCAAGUCAACGAUGGGUAGCCGACCUGAGAGGGUGAUCGGCCACACUGGAACUGAGACACUGUCCAGACUCCUACGGGAGGCAGCAGUAGGGAAUCUUCCGCAAUGGGCGCAAGCCUGACGGAGCAACGCCGCGUGAGUGAUGAAGGUCUUCGGAGCGUAAAACUCUGUUAUUAGGGAAGAACAAAUGUGUAAGUACCUAUGCACGUCUUGACGGUACCUAAUCAAAAAGCCACGGCUAACUACGUG
rnacentral:rRNA from 1 species